GACGAACGCUGGCGGCGUGCUUAACACAUGCAAGUCGAACGGAAAGGCCCUGCUUUUGUGGGGUGCUCGAGUGGCGAACGGGUGAGUAACACGUGAGUAACCUGCCCUUGACUUUGGGAUAACUUCAGGAAACUGGGGCUAAUACCGGAUAGGAGCUCCUGCUGCAUGGUGGGGGUUGGAAAGUUUCGGCGGUUGGGGAUGGACUCGCGGCCUAUCAGCUUGUUGGUGGGGUAGUGGCUUACCAAGGCUUUGACGGGUAGCCGGCCUGAGAGGGUGACCGGCCACAUUGGGACUGAGAUACGGCCCAGACUGCUACGGGAGGCAGCAGUGGGGAAUAUUGCACAAUGGGCGGAAGCCUGAUGCAGCAACGCCGCGUGCGGGAUGACGGCCUUCGGGUUGUAAACCGCUUUCGCCAGUGACGAAGCGUGAGUGACGGUAAUGGGUAAAGAAGCACCGGCUAACUACGUG
rnacentral:rRNA from 1 species